rnacentral:rRNA from 1 species
UACGUAGGGUGCGAGCGUUGUCCGGAAUUAUUGGGCGUAAAGAGCUCGUAGGCGGUGUGUCACGUCGGCCGUGAAAACCUGCAGCUUAACUGUGGGCGUGCGGUCGAUACGGGCAUCACUGGAGUUCGGCAGGGGAGACUGGAAUUCCUGGUGUAGCGGUGAAAGUCGCAGAUAUCAGGAGGAACACCGGUGGCGAAGGCGGCGACCUGGUCCGAUACUGACGCUGAGGCGCGAAAGCGUGGGGAGCAAACAGG